GCAUGUGAGGGCUAUCUGGCUGCGACAUCUGUCACCCAGUUGAUUGCCAGGGUUGAUUCGGGUGAUCUGGCUGGCUUACGCAGGUGUCCCUUUCCUCCCUCAAUGCUUGUUUCAUGUCCUCUUCCUCCAGAAGCUACGCACCCCAUCAAAGAGGACAGCCUUUCCCGGGUAGAGACAGGCUGGUCUUGGAUCGAGGGUAUAAAAGCAGCUAUGCUCCCUUCUAGAACCUCUGAACAAGAAAAGGAGAAAAGAAAAGAGGGGAAGGAAGGGGCAGGGAG
rnacentral:snRNA from 1 species